UACGUAGGGGGCAAGCGUUGUCCGGAGUUACUGGGCGUAAAGGGCGCGUAGGCGGCCUUCUAAGUCAGACGUGAAAUCCCCCGGCUUAACCUGGGAACUGCGUCUGAUACUGGGAGGCUUGAGUAUGGGAGAGGGAUGUAGAAUUCCAGGUGUAGCGGUGAAAUGCGUAGAUAUCUGGAGGAAUACCGGUGGCGAAGGCGGCAUCCUGGACCAUUACUGACGCUGAGGCGCGAAAGCUAGGGGAGCAAACGGG
rnacentral:rRNA from 1 species